AACCAAGUUAACAGUGGGGCGAUGAUUUGUCUGGCAAAAGGUUUCUAUAAGGACAAUGCACGCACACACGUCAUGUAAACAAUAUUCAAGUUUUCUGAUUGACUUUUGCUUCAUCUUGUCAGGAGCCAAUGUAGCUAGCUAGGGUGACAACAAAACAUGCUAUGAAGCGCAGAUUGGCUAGACAUUAUUGCACUGAAGAAUCUACCACGGAAGAGAAAACAAAACCGGAAGAGGCCAGAGGCGUUGCAUCGCAGUCAGAUCUCCAGUUUAAAUGUCAGGUAUAUGGGUACAGUAGAUCGGCCGUACGUCCUAGCCUGCCCUCGUGCCUGCUUGACCGGCCAAGCCAGCCGGCUCGAAUUCGAAGGGGUGAUCUUCAGAGGGAUAUACUGGGCGAGGUUUUGGUCGCAGCUGUAUAAGAGGAAGCGAG